rnacentral:rRNA from 1 species
UACGUAGGGUGCGAGCGUUGCCCGGAUUUAUUGGGCGUAAAGGGCGCGCAGGCGGCUCGGCACGUCCGUUGUGAAAUCGCCCGGCUCAACUGGGCGGGGUCAGCGGAUACGGUCGAGCUUGAGCAAGUCAGGGGGCAAUGGAAUUCCCGGUGUAGUGGUGGAAUGCGUAGAUAUCGGGAGGAACACCAGUGGCGAAGGCGGUUGCCUGGAGCUUUGCUGACGCUGAGGCGCGAAAGCGUGGGGAGCGAUCCGG